AUACGGAGGGUGCGAGCGUUGUUCGGAAUUAUUGGGCGUAAAGAGCAUGUAGGCGGUCUGUUAAGUCUGGUGUGAAAGCCCGGGGCUCAACCCCGGAAGUGCAUUGGAUACUGGCAGACUUGAGUAUGGAAGAGGAAAGCGGAAUUCCGAGUGUAGGAGUGAAAUCCGUAGAUAUUCGGAGGAACACCAGUGGCGAAGGCGGCUUUCUGGACCAAUACUGACGCUGAGAUGCGAAAGCGUGGGGAGCAAACAGGAUUAGAAACCCCAGUAGUCC
rnacentral:rRNA from 1 species